GGUUCAAAGCUUUGGUUUUUCACUCAGAGAUCAGGAAGUUGAAUGUCUUGAUAAGUGAAGAGCAGAAAGCAUCAGUAACACACAGUAAGAGCUCAGAGAACUGAGAGCAUUAACACACAACUGAUCUGAUCUGAUUCACCAUGAACAAAUACAUGCUGCUGCUUUUCAUUAUGGCGUCAGAUGUGACGGCUGAGGACAAAAUCGAGCCAAACCGAGGGACCAAAGUCAUCAAAACAGCAGGAGAGUCUGUAACACUGAGCUGCUCUUAUGAUUCAGACAGUGAAUAUGUGCGUCUUUACUGGUACAGACAAUAUCCCAAUGAAGAACCUCAAUAUUUACUACGUGAAGGAGCUCGAAGGAACUCUGCUAAAGACAGCUCUGAUCCUCGAUUUCAGUCAAGUACUUCUCGCAUAUUGACUGAACUCAUUAUUAACCGUGUGACUGUGUCAGAUUCAGCUCUCUAUUAUUGUGCUCUAAGAGUUGAAGCCCAGUGAUACAAAACAUGAAACACGUCGUACAAAAACUUAAAGCCAUUUUUCACUUUAAAGCUCAUAUGAAAACCAAAUCAAAACCUCAGUGUGAGAUAAUAACUGCAAACACCUGUGUGAGGCUGUGGGAACAGGAUUUUAGAAAAUGCAUAAAAGGGCAAACAAAGUUAAUAAUUCUUAAAAGAGUUUAAGGUUGUGUUAAAAUUGUGUGUUAAAAAUGUACUCUAGGUGUGCAACACUUGCAAAAAACUAAGCUUCCCAGUGUUAAAUUUGAAGAAUAGUUCACCCAAAAAUGAAAAUCCUGUCAUUUACUCGCCCUCAAGUUGUUCCAAACCUGUAUGAAUUUCUUUCUUCUGCUGAACACAAAAGAAGAUAUUUUGAAGAAUAUGGGUAAACUAACAGUUGAUGGACCCCAUAGUAUUUUUUUUCCAUAUGAAGUCAAUAGUGGUUACACAUA